rfam:Laetiporus sulphureus 93-53 unplaced genomic scaffold LAESTscaffold_30, whole genome shotgun sequence.
GCCCGCUUAGCUCAGUAGUAGAGCGCGCCACUCGUAAUACUUUAUUUGGAAGUUAUGGUGAGGUCGGUUGUUCGAUCCAGCCAGUGGGCA